rnacentral:rRNA from 1 species
CGAUGAAGGCCUUCGGGUCGUAAAGCUCUGUCCUAAGGGAAGAAUAAUGACGGUACCUUAGGAGGAAGCCCCGGCUAACUACGUGCCAGCAGCCGCGGUAAUACGUAGGGGGCGAGCGUUAUCCGGAAUCACUGGGCGUAAAGGGUGCGUAGGCGGUCAAUAAAGUCUGGGGUGAAAGGCUACGGCUUAACCGUAGUAAGCCUUGGAAACUUAUUGGCUUGAGUGCAGGAGAGGAGAGUGGAAUUCCUAGUGUAGCGGUGAAAUGCGUAGAUAUUAGGAGGAACACCAGUGGCGAAGGCGACUCUCUGGACUGUAACUGACGCUGAGGCACGAAAGCGUGGGGAGCGAACAGGAUUAGAUACCCUGGUAGUCCACGCCGUAAACGAUGAGUGCUAGGUGUCGGGGGUCGAACCUCGGUGCCGCAGCUAACGCAUUAAGCACUCCGCCUGGGGAGUACGGUCGCAAGACUGAAACUCAAAGGAAUUGACGGA